rnacentral:rRNA from 1 species
GAUGAACGCUAGCUACAGGCUUAACACAUGCAAGUCGAGGGGCAGCAGGGAUUUAGCUUGCUAAAUUCGCUGGCGACCGGCGCACGGGUGCGUAACGCGUAUCCAACUUUCCCGUUACUCUCGGAUAGCCUUCCGAAAGGGAGAUUAAUACGAGAUGGUGUUUUAAUUUCGCAUGUUAUUAGAACUAAAGAUUCAUCGGUAACGGAUAGGGAUGCGUGACAUUAGAUAGUUGGCGGGGUAACGGCCCACCAAGUCCACGAUGUCUAGGGGUUCUGAGAGGAAGGUCCCCCCACACUGGAACUGAGACACGGUCCAGACUCCUACGGGAGGCAGCAGUGAGGAAUAUUGGUCAAUGGCCGAGAGGCUGAACCAGCCAAGUAGCGUGAAGGNUGAAGGUUCUAUGGAUUGUAAACUCUUUUAUACGGGAAUAACAUCACCUACGUGUAGGUGCCUGCAUGUACCGUAUGAAUAAGCAUCGGCUAACUCCCGUGCCAGCAG